GGAAGAGCUCUUCUCUGAUCUCUGAGGAAACUGAACCAAUGCUCCUCUGAUAUCCCACUUUGGUCACACCUUGACUCCUGUUGGGUCUUUUUUAGUUGAAGUGUUGUCCUUGCCUAUUUCAAACCUUGUUUUAUGGCUCAGGACCUUGAAAUGCAGCUGAAUGUGGGGCUUAAUUCAGUUAAGAUGAACGGCUGAAAAGACAGUGCCUAGGAAACUAGACAUCAUGUCCUAUGCAGAGUGACAGAGAACAUAGCACAUACAUUCAAAGUGAGCACAGUUAAGUUAAAAGCGAGGAUUUGUAAGAAAGGUUACAUAUGGUUCUCGCAUAUUCUUUUUUAUUUAUUUAUUUUUUUGUCAUCUUUUUGUGCCUUUAUUUUAGAGGAUAGGACAGUGGACACAGUACAGUACAUGUUACAAAAUCACCAAUGUAUGACAUCAGAACAGCAGUGUAGUUUUUCCCAGGAGGGUAGAAGAGGGUCAGUCUCAGAGUACUCAUUGCAAUUUGUUUAAAUGUGUGUUUGAACCAGUUUGUGUUGGUGGGUACAGUGACUUGUGAUUUAUGACUCCUAAAGGGAGCGGCUCGAUCAAGAGGUGCUGUGCUGCAUGAGUGGAAUCCAAGAGCUUACCACUAGAUGGUGCUAGAGCACUCUUAAACUGUGGGCUGUUGCGUUUUAUUUACAGGUGAUGGUCAAGAAUUGUAAAUUGAACCAGCAGCUUAUAUUUUUUUAUUAAUUCUAUGAAAUCCUGAUCUCAUCAUGUUGCCUUGUUACUCAUUCAAAUGGAAAUCAAGAAAUGAGAAGGUUAUUUUUCAGAGAUAGGGCAACAACUGGGCUGUUAAAGUUCAGCAGUGUGCUCAAGAAUGCUGUAAAAUCCUGCACUCACAGCCUACACUGAGAAAUAAGUCAAGAACGGUCCUCCUCCCCCAGGAUGCUGAAGAAUUGUAAGUAGGCAGCUGAGGCAAAAUAUGACCUGAGCCAUCCUGUUGGGUUUUAUAUUCUUGAGGGCACCCGCUUAACCUCUUAAAUAUUUGAAUGUACCCCAAAUAUAUAAUAUAAAGUUUGAGUCUGCUGCCACAUUGACAACUUCAUACAGGGAAAACCCACUCUGGUUAAAAAACCACAAAAGGAAAAGUGGAUUUAUUUAACUUUUCUUCCAAAUCAAGUUAACAAACAGUAUGUAAAGCAGUUAAAGCUCCUGUGAGGAGUAUUUUGGUGUUAAUGAAAGAGUCUGAAAUUCAUAUUAAUUGCUUUUUACAAUAGAAAAACAAAUAGGAUCAUUAGAGAGAAGACUGACAAUUUUUUAAAUUGUAAUUUUUAUUGCAUGACACCAAUGUGGGAGGGUAGGUGUCAGCCAAACAUUUACGUUAAAAUAUUCAAAAUAAAGAAUAAACUUGACCGUCAGAAGUCAGCACAAUAUGAUUUAUUUAUUUAUUUAUUUAUUUAUUUUGUCAGUAAAUAACAAAGACCGUUUCAUCCACAGGGGUGCAGAAAAAUCAACACAAACCAAAAGUUCCUCACAGGAGCUUUAAGUUAAUUCCAUUUUUUAAAAGCAGAUAGUCAAAAAAGUGGGAUAGGAUUUUUGUCUUGCACAAGACUUACACAAGGGCACAAUAUCAGCAAAGAUAUUAAAGAUGUCACUUUGACCAGAAGGGGGGCGCCAAAAUGGGACAAAAGAAAAAAAAAUGCUCACAGGAGCUUUUAAACAGGGUUGUUCAAGUGCACAGAGUGGCAGAGAAAAAGUUAUUUUCUGUUCAACAAUAUAUAUUUGUCUGAAUUCUCAGUAUUAUCUGUAAAUUAGUCUUAAAAAAUGAAUUUCUUGAAAAAAAAAAUUGAAUUUCCCUUCAGGGAUAAAUAAAGUUAUUCUUAAUCUUAAAAUUAAGUCUGAUAAUAUCCUCUGUAAAGUUGUGUGGUGGUGGUACCCCUUUGGCUAGAGCUGGCACUGGUGCUUGGCAAGCGCUGCUCUAAUAGGUGUCAAGUUUGUGAUAAAUAUCAGAAUCAAUCCCCAUCAGUUCAUAUGAAGCAGAGGGCUGAAGUAGAUAACAGGCUGACCUAUUGAGUGUGCGGUCGAUCAUGCUGUUGCAGCCCAGAUAGUUAUGGAUAUUAGAAAUCACUCAAACCAAGAGGCAGAAAGUAGGAAUGCAGAGUGGGGAGUAGAAGAGCCGAUUUCAGUGAGGUGGAUGAGCAGUACACUGCAGACCACAAACAUAAAGACUAAUUGCCUAUUAUUACAGAAACUAUGUUUUUCUUCUCUCUUGGCUGGAGAGCACCAGGCCUCAUUAUCAGGCUUCAGCCAGUCUGUUUGGCCAGCCUGUCACUAGCAUCGGACACAACAUUAUGGAGACUAGUUGAGGCUCCUGGCCCAGAGGAUUGAGGAGGAGAAUCUCUGUGAUUAACUUGCUAGUGCCCACACUAAGACAGCGAGAAAUAGCAGGUUUUUCUUCCUUCACCCCAGGAUAGAGCACAGCACACUGUGGGCAGCAUUAAGAAUCAGCUGGAGUUGAUUGAUAGCCGGAGGCUUAGUGGCUGCAUCCAUCAGAGUUUAAAUUUGAGCGUUUUACCUCCUAUCCGUGAUAUAGUCAAGUGUAAAAACACAGAUUCAGGCUGGACAUGCCAGAGAAGGUGCAAGGAUUUUUCUGACUCAAUCUGACACAGAUCUUUAUACUCAGUCGUUAAUUGCUGGGAGUGCGAUUAUUGACUUUUGAGUUGGCAGUUACAUGAGAAUGCUGAGAUCCCGUUUAAAUCUGUCAGUUCCUGUGUAGAUUUGUAUGUACACUGAAAAAAGGAGGAAACAGCCGGUAAUAAAACCUCAAAGUUGCUCAUCCAUGCUCAUUAAACUCAACAUCAGAGCAUCUUACUUUAAAGCAUGUUUGUUCUAUGAUGCCGUAUGUUGGACUAAUUAAAUCUAAAACCAACUGCUAUGGCUAGCUGGUACCUAAUUUUCCAUUCUUUGUCUAUACUAGAGCCGAGCUAACUUACUACUGGCUGCAGUUACAGAGACACAAGAAUCUAUAAAAUUUAAGGGAUAAAAUUUAGAUACGUAUAUUAUUAACAUCUCCUGAGCACCACUAUAUCAUCCACCCAAGUUUUUGUGUUUUUACCAGUAUAUAAGCUAUGAAAAGAUGUGUUUGGUGUAAAAAGUUUAAGACAAAAUUUCACAAUCACAAUCAACAUUCAGUAUCCUGUUCAGAAGUGCUGGAGAAAAAGGAAACCAUACUCAGUAGAAAGUCUCAAUACUACACUUCUUAAGUUGAAAGAGCCUGCAGUUCUCCCUUUUUCCCUGACCCAUUUAAUUAAUACAAUCUGUAUCUGCCAACUCCUCCGGUCAGACUGUCUAAGACGCUUUACACAGUCUCAGUAACAAAAGCAGAUGGGUUCAGAGACAGCAGGUGAUUCCUGGUAUUAAUAGACAGCCAGCACUUUUAUAGUUGUCUGUGCUAGCCUUGUUUUGAGUAAAUUGAGGACACAGGCCCAGAGCUGCAGUAAAGUCAUCUGGCUUUAAAAGACUGGCCUGAAUCAGUGGCUGGACAAGGACCAAUCACACAGUGAUUCUGAAUGACCUGAUGUUAGAGCAGAGCAUCUGGAGAGCAAUAAGACAGGUGUCAGUCCCACACACACACAGUUACCACACAGCAAUAAAAGUCUCCAGUGAUCACACUCUGUCUGUGUUAUUGUU